CUGCGGCGCGGCUGGGCGCGGGAGGCGGAAGUGCCGCGGGCCGCCGCCUCCGUCCGGGCUGCGGCCCCUGCCGGUUACAUAACUCGUUGCGGGCCCCGCGCGGUCUCAGGUCCCGGCUCUCUGAUUCCCCAGGAUGCGCUGAGUCCCGCGACGCCCUCAGCUGCCACCGGCUCCCGCCCGAGGUGUGAAUGACAGAGGUGGUGCCAUCCAGUGCCCUCAGCGAGGUCAGCCUGCGUCUCCUCUGCCACGAUGACAUAGACACUGUGAAGCACCUGUGUGGUGACUGGUUCCCCAUUGAGUACCCAGACUCAUGGUAUCGUGACAUCACAUCCAACAAGAAGUUCUUUUCCCUUGCUGCAACCUAUAGAGGUGCCAUUGUGGGAAUGAUAGUAGCUGAAAUUAAGAGCAGGACCAAAAUACAUAAAGAGGAUGGAGAUAUUCUAGCCUCCAACUUCUCUGUUGACACACAAGUUGCAUACAUUCUAAGUCUGGGAGUAGUGAAAGAAUUCAGGAAGCAUGGCAUAGGUUCCCUUUUACUUGAAAGUUUAAAGGAUCACAUAUCAACCACCGCCCAGGACCACUGCAAAGCCAUCUACCUGCAUGUCCUCACCACCAACAACACAGCGAUAAACUUCUAUGAAAACAGAGACUUUAGGCAGCAUCACUAUCUGCCCUAUUACUACUCCAUCCGAGGGGUCCUCAAAGAUGGCUUCACCUAUGUCCUCUACAUCAAUGGCGGCCACCCUCCCUGGACCAUCUUGGACUACAUCCAGCACCUGGGCUCAGCACUAGCCAACCUGAGCCCCUGCUCCAUCCCACACAGGAUCUACCGCCAGGCCCAUAGCCUGCUCUGCAGUUUCCUACCAUGGUCAGGCAUCUCCACCAAGGGUGGCAUUGAGUAUAGCCGCACCAUGUGAUGGCAGCUGGGCAACCUCUGCCAGGCCGCACCCCUCAGCACCCUGCAGAGCCUUCCUUCCUGUUCAUCUGACCUUUGCUUUCCUCUGCAAGGAGCUGGCGGCCACCUGCCAGCCUGUUGACCUGCCCCAGCUGCAGGCCCGGUGCUACGCAGGCUCAGGAGCAAGAGCAUGCAUCUGGUCUCCAACAGGCUCCCCGGCUCUCCUGCCUGUUUUUGGAAACCUCUGCCUCCACCGGGUGCCCUGGUCCUGCCUCCAUGCACUUGCACCAUCCCCUCUGCCCUGCCCGGUGUGGCUGCAUUCGCCAGGUAGGGGCUGUCCCCACCAGCCUCUCCCACUCCACUGCCUGUUCCUUCAACUCCUUCCUGCAAAACCAGGCUGAACUUGCUGCUGUGAAGGAGAAACAUAAGUAUUGUGGACACCCUUGACCCUGAAGACACGGGAGCCUCAGAAGAAGGGGGUGCAGUAAAAGGAAUUCCAGGCUUUUAUCCAGGACCAGCCCCAAGAAGCCUGGCAGGGACACUGCCCCUACCCUCCACAAGAAGCUGUGGAGGGGUGGACAGAAUGGGGUUGAUGGUUCAGGAGAGUAGAGCUCCAGAGCCCAGCUCUGGCACAGGUGGUCAGAUAAUGGGACAGUUCCUUCUUCCUCAGUGGCCUCCUGCUGUCUGCUUCCUGCUUCUUGUUUCUGGAGAGAUUGUCCUGCCGGCUGGAUUGUGGCGAGCUGCAUGCAGCUGACCUUCUUGGGAGCAGGACUGAGGACAGGUGUCCAUGAGGCCCUUGCCCAUCCUUCCAUGAGGUGAAACUACGAAGCUUGGUCAGAUGCAGGCAGGAGGGUGCUGAGCUCUGCAUUGGGCAUCAUGGCUUCCAAGGGUUCAUGGGUCCUGGCCUUGGGGUCAGGGACAGUCGGUGCCUAAGGCACCUCAGCCUCCGAGGGCCAAGGCCAUGUCAGCAGUGUGCGUGUCUCACACUUCCGGCAUCCCUCACCCUGCAUCUCCCAAGCUACCAGUGUCCUGCCUGGUAUUGCUACAGUGUCAUGGACCCAGUACAGAGGGUCCUCCUGCCCCUCGAUUUGCCAGCCCUUAGGAGGGAAGAACUGCUCAGCAGAUGGGGCCUUGGUGACUGUGCCCCCGUCCCUCGGUGUUUCCCAGCCCGGGGCUCUUGGUGCUGGUGGUAGCCCAAGGCCUCUUCUUGUCCUCAGGCAGUUCAGGCACGAGGAGUGUCCCCCUCUCUGGACAGCUCUGGCCAGUGGGUGGCCCCUAAUGUGCUGACUGAUGUCAGCUGUAUGCUGAGGCCCCAGCUCUGUGUCCUCUUCCCUCUCAAUCAACGGUGAUCAUGUGAUUUUCAUUUCUGCCCCACGCAGUCCAGGAAGAGUCUUCCAGAAGGUUCUGCCUUGGACAUUCAUAAUCCAGCUCAGAGGCCUUGCCCCACCCCUCCCUCCUUCCCCUAAUCACUGCAGUGUCCAGCUCAGUGUUGAACAGAUUGUAGUGUUUUGUCUCAUUACAAACAAAUAAAUAGAUUUUAUCUGGUCA